UACGAGGGGGGCAAGCGUUGUUCGGAAUUAUUGGGCGUAAAGGGCGCGUAGGCGGUGCGGUAAGUCUGAUGUGAAAUCUCCGGGCUCACUCGGAGUCUGCAUCAGAAACUGCCGUGCUUGAGUGUGGGAGAGGUGAGUGGAAUUCCCGGUGUAGCGGUGAAAUGCGUAGAUAUGUGGAGGAACACCGAUGGCGAAGGCAGGCCCCCUGGGUCAAGACUGACGCUCAUGCACGAAAGCGUGGGGAGCAAACAGG
rnacentral:rRNA from 1 species